rnacentral:rRNA from 1 species
AUUGAACGCUGGCGGCAGGCCUAACACAUGCAAGUCGAGCGAGCCGCGUACGUGAUUGUUAUGUCUGGGCCACUGCCUGGUGGAUGGGGUUCACUACUGGAAACGGUAGCUCAAUCCGCCUACCAUCACAUGUGCCCGACUGGGAAUAGCUAGUAGGUGGGGUAAGGGCACACCAAGGCGACGAUCCCUAGCUGGUCUGAGAGGAUGACCAGCCACACUGGAACUGGGACACGGGCCAGACUCCUACGGGAGGCAGCAGUGGGGAAGAUUGCACAAUGGGCGCAAGCCUGAUGCAGCCAUGCCGCGUGUGUGAAGAAGGCCUUCGGGUUGUAAAGCACUUUAAGUGAGGAGGCGUUACGCACAGAAGAAGCACCGGCUAACUUCGUGCCAGCAGCCGCGGUAAUUC